rnacentral:sRNA from 1 species
GCUGGGUAAUGAGAACCAAAUUGCAAAUUUGCAGAAUUUUUCCCUAACAUUGUCAAACAAUUGGUAAUAGUGUUUUGAGAUUGAACAGAAUUUGAUGUGUUUAAUUUGUAAAGUGUAUUUUUUUGUGGUUACACAGAAGCAGUAAAAACCUUGACAGAAAUAAUGAGCUUUAACAUAACCACAGCCUCUAAUCUAAGAAUUCUGUGUAAGGACCAGUCUUACCAGAGAUAAGGUCAAAUAUUUUCCUGUAAGAUUUUCUCAGCCUGGAGAGUUGAGAGAACUGUUUAAUCAAGAGCAGGAUGGAUGGAUGUACAACAAUGCUUGAAGUAAGAGGAAAAAAAGCAAAUGGGUCUGAACAUAUCCAUCAGUAUUAUUUGUAUAUCACCUAUUAGCUUCUAAGUAGUAUCAAUAUUAAUAAAAGAAGUCUUAAGCUCUCUGUGACUCAUGGUCAUGUGAAAAUUAGAAUACCUUAGUUUCCUAGGAUUCAGUCAACCUUGGGAUUAUGGGUAGUCAGCCUGUUACGAGAGUCCUGGUCUUUAAAGAUCUACUUUUAGCAAUAUCUGAAAACUGUCAAGCCCUGCUCUUUUAGUGUAUAUUUACUGUUAAAGCACAGAACUUCCUCUUUUAUAUUAGUAGAAUUUGGGAGGAUGCUGAUUCCUAUUGAGGUUUUUGUUCGAUUGUUUGAAAGUCUAAUGCAGUGAAAAGAUUACUCAUUUCUGUGCUUCAUCAACAGUUAUUUGGCACCCUUUCCCUGUCUUUCGUGGGUUAAGCAUAUCACUUUGAAGUCUAUUCAGUUACGUACUUUAAACAGAAGUAACAUUUGUUUUCCAAAUUCUCUUUAGCCUUCAAAUCCUUUUUUCUGAAAUAGUACAAAAAUGAAUGUUUGCAUAGCACCUUACAUUUUAUAAAAAUAUAAAUCUCAUAUGAUUAAUCUUCCUCAUCUUUCCCCAGAUCAUCCCUAGCUGCCCACCAGCAUAAGCAUAUCCUCAUAUUGAAGCCCUUGCACUCUGAAGCCUGACUUACCUAAUGAUUUCCUGAGACAAAAUAAGCUCUCUUAGCUAGUGACUCCUAUAGUGCACUUUCCAAAAAUUUGAACCCUACCCUUAGGACAACCUCUUAAUGAAACCUUUCUCAAAUGCUCCAGCAAACUUUGAAUUUAUUUGGUAGCCAUUUGGAUGUUAGAAAAAAUGUUAAUUUGUAGAAACUAUAUUCACAUCCUUCCUUUCUGAAAGCCUUGGUCAGACUUCUAUUAGUAUUCAUACUACCAAUAGAAACUUAAUAGGUGAUAUACUGGCUGGACGAGGUGAGUCAUGCUUGUAAUCCCAGCACUUUGGGAGGCCAAGGCGGCAGAUCACUUGAGGUCAGGAGUUCAAGACGAGCCUGGUCAACAUGGUGAAACCCCGUCUCUCCUAAAAAUAAAAAAUUAGCUGGGUGUGGUGGCACAUGCCUGUAAUCCCAGCUACACAGGAGGCUGAGGGAGGAGAAUCGUUUGAACCUGGGAGGCGGAGGUUGCAGUGAGCUGAGAAUGCACCAUUGCACUCCAGUCUGGGUGACAGAGCGAGACUCCAUCUCAAAAAAAAAAAAAAACGAGUGCUUUAGUCCCUAAAAUGAUUUUACAUUCAGACUAAUCCUUCUCAGAGUGUACAUUUCUUUAGCAGUAUCAUCAGCUAUUAGGUUGGUGCAAAAGUAAUUGCAGUUCUUGCCUUUAGUAAUGGCAACUCAAAUAGUAUUUUGGCCUCAUGGCAGUGUGGUGGACUAGAGCUUACUUAACCUUGGGCUCUUAGAAUCUUACGUUGGGGAACUGUGGGCCCAGGGCCCCUGUUCUUAUAAAGCUUUAUUGGAACAUACCAUGCCCAUUCAUCUGCAUGUUGACUUUGGCUGCUUUUGCAUCACACAGUGCCCAAAGAGUAAAAUAUUUGCUUUCAACCCAUUUAAGAAAAGUUUGCCAACUCCUGAAGUGAAGAAGAUAGGCAAAUCUCAAUACCCUUGUAAGAGAGAACUUAUGACUUUAAUAGUUUUUGUCUUAGGAGAAAGAUUAUGAAGAACCCGUAGUUUCCUCACCUAAAUGUUCUUGCCCUUGGCAGUGAGCAAGAUAAGAGUUUUUGCAAAUUUUAUCCAGAUGUAUACAUAGAUUUUAUACAAGAUAGAUACAUAGAUAUUAACAAUUUUAUGAUUGCUUAUUGUUUUAAAAUACACUUAAAUCCUAGUAUUCUUGGGUGCAUAGCUAUGUUAGUGAACCAUUAACUGAAAUUUGGCUUUUGGUCUCUAAAAAAUUGAAAGCAUGUUGAAGUUGGCAGGAUUAUUUUUUAAAGCUGUUAGAUAACUGGGAAGCUAGAAAUUUAAGGUUUUUUAAAAAGACAUUUUGUUUUCAUUCCAGCUAAACCCACAGUUCAGCCCUCCCCUUCUACAACUUCCAAGACAGUUACUACAUCAGGUACAACAAAUAACACUGUGACUCCAACCUCACAACCUGUGCGAAAGUCUACCUUUGAUGCAGCCAGUUUCAUUGGAGGAAUUGUCCUGGUCUUGGGUGUGCAGGCUGUAAUUUUCUUUCUUUAUAAAUUCUGCAAAUCUAAAGAACGAAAUUACCACACUCUGUAAACAGACCCAUUGAAUUAAUAAGGACUGGUGAUUCAUUUGUGUAACUCACUGAAACCAAAAUACUAUCUUUUAAGAUGUCCCACAUGGAAGACGCUAUUCCAGGAUCUUUAAAUUUCCAUGGAUGCAUAUAGGAUGUUUGGGAGCAUCAUCCGUGAAGAAAAAAUCAAUUAAAUCAUUGUGUUCAACAGGAAUAUUUAAAAUAUUCUGCAUGAAUCCUGUGGCUGUCUUAUUUUAAAUAGCUGCUGCUGUGGGAUUAUAUUUUUUUUUCCUUAACAUGCCAAAUAUAACUUUCUGAAAGUGAUGGAAAAUGUUGUCUUGUGCAGACAACAUCAUGGCUCUUGGCAGUUUAAAUUUAGUAAUUUUAAUUUAGUGAACAGAAUUAAGAAGAACGUGCCAAAUGAGAAUCAAUUAGGUGGAUUUUUGGCUGUCAUUUCAAAAGUGGAAUAAAUUUAUUAAUUUAGUAGUACUAAAUGGUAUCCUUAGAUUAAAAUUUUGUGCUUGAUAACAGCUGUUUUUUCUACAUUAGAAAUAAGAUGCCACACAAGGAACUACAUUCCAGAUUUAAAGAAAUGAAAGGAUACCAUUAGUGUGUAUAACAGAUUAUUGUUCAUACUUGUAAAGCACCUUAUGUCAUUGAGAAUAUAAAGAACAGUGCCUUAGAAGACAGUGAAAGGUAAGCUCUAGCUUAAUGUCUAUGAUUUGUUCUUUGACAUUAAGGAAGGUAAGGAUUGGUCAGAGGAUGUAACUUGAUGUGAGCAGUAGUAAACCUGUUUUAGAUAUCAUACUGUUAAUAUUUUAUUGAAAAUUUAUUUCAGAGCGGAGAAACUUAAGCUAAAGUCUGUUAUACAGAAUUGAAAGCCUUCGUAUCUUGAACCUCCCAACAUUUUUCUUAUGGCUGUUGAAAAGUAUAGAGCUAAAUUGAUUUAAUUACACUUUCCUUUGUACUUUAAAAAAAAGUAUGCUAGCACUAUUGUACCUUGAAAGGAUUUCCACCAGACUGUCUUGAGUAGUGACUUCUUUGGUGAGGCAAGAAGGAUAUACAUUAUUUUAGAAUCAUUUACUAUUUAAAUGAGACAAUCAUAUUAUUUUAGAAUCAUUUAUUUAAAAUAUGAGACAAUCAUUUUAAGUUUUAAGAUAACAGAAGUGACCAAUGUAAUUUCACAACACCUAAGGAUUUUUUGGUUGAUCAGGUUAAUGUAGAUUUUUACUGAUUGUCCUGGAUGAAUAGACUGUGCUUUUUCUUUUUCUCUCCCUUCCUUCUUGGUUUCCCAUAGUAUAAUAAGCAUGCAUACUUUAACUUCUAUAGUUUUCUCCUUUAGAGGGUCUUCUUCAGUUUUAGAGGUUUACUUCUCCCUUGCCUUUGACUCAUUGGACUAGUGCAGAGGCUUUAAGUAGUUUAAAAUAGGCUUUUGCUUUUCUAGGUCAUUAACGUUUUUUAUUUAGUUUUUUUAGCCAAUAGUGGCUGAGUUUCGCACUUGAUUUUCAAUAUUUUAUAGUAAGAAAUGACAAACUGCUUUGGUUCAUUUCAUAAACUGAAACUCUGCAUUUAGAUAACUAUUAAAGGUUGUUAAGAUGAAGAUUUACUGUUUCUUUGUUACUCGUUGGUACAGCUGUUUGUUUUACUUGCACAUUUGUACAUAUACUUAAUGUUUUCAAGUGCCUUAAUUGUUUAAAAUCUCUGGCUUCAAAGUUUCUUGGGGAAAGGUCGGUUUACCUCACAUUUUUUGUUUCCAUUAGUAAUAUUCUAGGUACCUCACAAAAUGUAUUAUGGUGCCAUGGCUGUUAGUUUUUAGUGAGUGCUGUAGGAUUAAUUCGAAAAUAGGCAGAAUUCCAUUCCUCCCAAGGUGGCAAAAAUUAGCUAUACUGAUGUAAUUGUCAUUUACCUGGGUAUGAAUUCCCUGACACACAUUCAUGUCAACAUAUGUAGCAAAUUUUGUGAAAACGUAACAAUUUGAAGCUUCUGUAAUUUUGAGCACUGCUCUAACACAAGCAUAAUAUAAAAUUAGUUAGAUUUUGCAAGUCUACAAAUGAGCUCUUGCAACAGAACUCACAGCCUUUUUACUUUUUUCCCCUAACUUUAGCAAUGUAGUAUCUUGAGCCAUUAAUUUUUGGGUUUUUUUAAAAUCCAGAAGGUAUAUAGAAACCUUUUCAGAUUUUUCAUCUGAUUUGUUCUUGCAGAUGUUCUUCUAUCAAAUACCUUAUUUUACCUUACAGAUAUUUGUUGCACAGGCAGAUACUGCUGUAUUUAGACAUUUCUAUUUCAGUUCAUUAAAAACUGCAAAACCAAUCUGUAUCAUGUACCAAACUGACUUAAAAUAAAUCUACAUGUUUAUUGAAUUAA